rnacentral:tRNA from 1 species
GCGCUCAUAGCUCAGUUGGAUAGAGUAGCAGACUUCGAAUCUGAAGGUCGUGGGUUCGACUCCCGCUGGGCGCACCA